UGCCAGUAAAUAGAUAGACUUGAAAAAACCACACUACGAAAAUGAAAAUAGCCAGAAGUAAAAUACCAAGAGUACAGAGAUCUCAUCUCUAACCUCCAAACAUCUAAUAAACAAAUUCUAAGAAAUUAUUCGUAUGCAGAACCCAUUCACAUCAGAAAACUUCAAAAAUACCUCUGGUUUCAGGGCUCGUUCCCGAACAGGAAGCCAUCAACAAUUGCAGAGUCCCAGUAGUAUGCUGAUUAAAAGAGAGAGAGAGAGAGAGAGAGAGAG
rnacentral:misc_RNA from 1 species